rnacentral:lncRNA from 1 species
AACAUGCACUUGUAAGAUAUUAUAUAUCUGUAUGAAUGUGCGAAAUACACAGGGCUCUAAACUAUGAAUCAAUUAUUAAGUAAUAAUGUUACCUUGGCCACUUCAUUGCUUCACUGUCCUUAUCUCAGGACAACAUGCCAUGCAUAUUUAUAAAUCAUGGCAUCUAUAUCAACUGCACUAAUAUGGCAAACAAUCAGUUAACUGAAUUAUCUAUUAUACCAUGAUUUAAUGUGACACAAGAGGAGAAAGUGGAGACAACUUAAAUGAACAAUUUAUCUGUCUAAUACUUCCAACAUAAACAAAGAAGCCGCAACCAAAGUGUGAGAAUCGGAAAGGAAUACUGAAGCUAACAUGGGUGCAAAUAAAUACUGACUGAACCAGAGGAAAUGAAAGCAGACACUCCAAAACAAUAAGAAACCUAUAGUCGUUAAUGCACAAACUAAAUCUCAUUGAGGUGGAGAUUUAGCCUAGUCUGUUUCUAGCACAAAAACAAUCUCAUUGAGGUGGAGAUUUAGCCAUGGAAGGACUAUAGUAGCCAUGAAUCACAAGGUGGAGAUUUAGCCAUGGAAGGACUAUAGUAGCCAUGAAUCACAAACUAUAGUCAUAAUCUGUAGAUGAAAAGAAGAGCUCACCUGCAGAUUGGGACCCUCGAUGUAGCCAUGGAAGGCUAGCCAUACAUGGUGGUGCUUCGAUGCCAAAACCCAAGGCAACAGUGGCAAGGUCCCGCCUAACAACGCCCCAUUUCCUCUUACUCCACCUAUUUCCCAUAACUUAGAUUCAUAAUCAAAUAUUCAGGUGCAAUAAAAAUUUCUGUCAAGUUAUAAGUUAAGCCUUUAAGAAAAUGAUUUUAUAACCAAGAUUACCUAAACUAACUUUCAUUUAUCACAGGGAUGGCAAAACAGGCCGGUACUUGCCUCACUGAGUUGGCGUACUAUUCUCAUUUCUCAGACUACAUUCUAUGGGAUUAUGUUAAUUCACUCCAGUUUCUACAUGUCCAUACAUGUACCCUCUUCAUGUUCAGUGGAAAUGGCCAAUAUCAUAAUUCCUGAAAGCUAAGAUUUGUUAUGUGCUGCAAAAGCUCAGAACCAACAACUAUGCUUAGAUAGUACUGUGCAUGUUGACUAGUGAUAAAAAAAUCAUGGUGCUUGACGCAAAGAAAAUAUCCAAACAAAUGUGUGAAAUCAAAGACUAAUCAGAAUCCGAGAUACAUCAAACCAAGGAAAUCGAUCUGCAAGAUGCCCUUGCAGCGCAAGACAACUCCUCCCAUAGCCAAUCAUAGACGACAGCUCACUGGUCGCUACUUGUUGGCACAUUCAGACUUCUCCUUUCCCUCCAUCGCAGAAAAUUAACAUAUGAACAUCAGAAUCAAAAUAAGAGAAGGAACAUCCAGUACUCGAGAUGUACAACAAGCGUGCACU